UUCAUUCUGGGAGAGAGAGAGAGAGAAAAAAAUUGGUCCACAUAUAGAAAAAAAGAAUGAAAAAAUGAAAGAAAAUUUACUUAGAAUGCGUUGCAGCAUCCUUUGUUAAAGUGAUUGCAAAGCUCUGACAAACACAAUUUCUUAAGGUUUGUCCUGGGAUGGGUCUCGGAAUGUGCUUCCCAGUAUGACCCAGUGGAUUUUAAUUGUCAGUGUUUCCUUUCCUCAACCUCUGGUGUCCAGAUUUAGAGGGUGGGAAGGAAGGAAGCACCUUGGCCCUAGGAAUGGGAAGUGGUGGCUGAUUUACAAACGGAAGGAAGCUCACUCGGACCUGUAAUGAGCUGUGGUGCUCCCAUUUUCCUAAGUUGUUUGGAAGCUGGACACAAGACUUCCUUUGCUGAUUGCUGGAACAAUGAAGAGCCCAGCUCCUGCAUCUCAUGUUUGAAAAAUACCUGGUUACAUAAGGCUGUGAAACUUAUCUCUCUGAAGCAGUUGGGAAAUAGUUUGAACCUGAAUUAUUUUAGUAUAAUCUCAGCACUAAUGAGGGAGAGGAAUGAGCGAGGACAGGCUGGCUGUUCAGCACCCCAGGGAGGACGACUUCCAGCCCGUGGGAGUCAGAUCUGACCAUGUUGCCAUGGGCAACAGCCUGGCUGCAAAUGAACCUCGCCCCCAGUGCAGACAGCAAAGAGGAAGCCGGGGAAGGAGAAGCACACCAGGGGCAAUGCAGGAAGAAUGCUAAAGCCAUCACUGUCUUGCCCUCCAGAGCUCGGAUCUCUGGCUUUCCUGACCUUCCCCUGGGGAAGCUGAGGGGCCUGCUGGUCACAGGACCCCUGGUGACCAUGUUCAGGUCUGGCCAGAAAGAAGACAGGCAUGGAAACUGGGGCAGCGUCAAGCGGAAGCUACUUCGUCCAGGAGGGAUGAAAGGGACAGAGGCUGCUUCUCUUGGAGAAAAGAAGACUUGAGGCUGGUGCAUGUGUCUGAAUUCCGAGAAGUUUCCUAUGUGUCGGGGUCUAGGCUCCCUCCCCACCCUGGGCCCCUCCCGGGUGUCUGGUUUGACGUGGCCUCCCAGGACUGACACCGAUGUUCCAGGCAGGAGAAACAAUGGCAGAGGCCUCGUUGGCCGUACAGACGCCAGCAUCCCCACCCACAGUGGGUUUUGAUGGACUCUGGGCGCUAGUGAGGUGUCUGUCUGCGUUCCUCACUGUAGCACAUGGUCAGUGUGGCCCACUGUGGGGCGGGGAGAGUGGGGAGGCCCUGCCUAUGUGGGAGCAGGCUAUGUGGGCGCUCUCUGCACUUUCUCCUCCCUUUUGCCAGGAACCGAAAACUGCUCUGAAAAAUAGUCUAUGUAAAAAAGAAAAGGUUCUGCAGCCUAUGUGCACAUCGCUCCUCAGCCUGCAGCUGCGUCCGCACACAGUGGAAGGUGAGCCUGGCCUCUUCAUGGACGACCCACUCAAGACUCAGGGCACUGGCCUCCCACCGUGUCCACACCCGAGGCUGCACUGGAGCCGCUAAAUCCUGUGUCCCUCUCCCCAUGUCCUUACUCCUCUCUUUCCUCUCCCCCGCCUUUUUGAUUAGCCCUGUUUUGGGGGACAGAUGUAGGCCUUGCGUUAUCCUUACUGAUAUUCACCUUGUAAAAUGAGACUAACAUAUGUAUUACACUAAUUGUACAUCUCUGUGUGUGUGUGUGUGUGUGUGUGUGUGUUUUAAAUCAACCACAAAUAGCAGCAAUGUCUUUGUCUGGGUUAUUAAUCAGGAAGAGAAGUCUUCUUCUAUGAGCUACAGAAACAUACCUUUUAUGAGCUACAGAAAUUGCUGAAGCUACUUUAUGAACUACAGAAAUUGGCCAGGCACCUCUGCUGACACCUGGACUAGCUGUCUACACCACCACACACCACAUCUGGGCAAGAGCCCUUGGUGUGCUGCCAUAAGGCUGCUGGCUGUGAGCCCACAGAGGAGCCGGGUGGAUGGUACUGGGGCACAAGAGCAUCGAGGGUCCCUUUUGUUCAGAUGCUGCAGACCACUGUGGGCCACGUGUCCUACAGCUGACACUGCCUCGGCCCCGUUCUCCCAGGUCCUCACUCUAACUCAGCCCUCAGGG